AAAGAAUAACCCUUCUACCACUACUACUACUAUGAAGAAAAGAACAAGAACAAAAAGAACAAGCGUAAGAAAACAAAAUCACCACCACCACCACCACCACCAGCAACAACAACAACAAGCAUGUGAAUUUCUUGAGGAAUAAGUUAACAAAGACACAGUCACUAACAACAACAGGUGACAAGUUAAUAAACAUUAACCAUUUUGAUACUGCUUGAUAUUCUAUAAUAUAAAUGUUUUGUCUUAACCCUUUAGCAUUUAAACUGACCAUAUCUGACCAAAAUAAUCUACCUGUAUUAUCUUCAAACUGGCCAGAUCUGGCCUCUCACACUUACCCAACAAUAUUAUUCUAAAAAUAAACAAUCACGUCAUUGAAACUUCAAAGUUACAAGGAAAUGCAUGGCUAAUUCAUAUCAAUGUGAAUAAAUAAGCAUUAUGACUGAUAGGGAAAUCUGAAUGCUAAAGAGUUAAAUUAAAAUGUUCCAUCAAAAUUUAUGUCAAUUUAUGUUCCAAAUGCCAACUUAAUAACAACAAGGUUGUUUUACUAAAUUCAUCAUCAUCAUCAUCAUCAUCAUCAUCGCUUAACAUCCGCUUUCCAUGUUAGCAUUGGUUGGACAAUUUGACUGGGGGCUGGCGAACCAGAUGGCUGCACCAGGCUCUAAUCUUGAUCUGGCAGAGUUUCUACAGCUGGAUGCCCUUCCUAACGCCAACCACUCCGAGAGUGUAGUGGGUGCUUUUACAUGCCACUGGCAUGGAGGCCAGUCAGGCAGUACCGGCAACGACCUCACUCAAAUGUUUUUACCCGUGCCACCGGCACAAGUGCCAGUAAGGCGAUGCUGGUAACAAUCACACUCGAAUGGUGCCUUUUACGUGCCACCGGCACAGAAGCCAGUUAGUCACUCUGGCAAUGAUCACAUUCAGAUGGUGCUCUAAGCACCCUACUAGCACGGGGCACAAGUGCCAGUAAGGCGACGCUGGUAACGAUCACACUUGAAUGGUGCCUUUUAUGUGCCACUGGCACAGUGUCUGAAACUAAAGCGAUGUUUUUCAACAAAUAUAUGGAAGCAAAAGUAUUAAGACAAGCACCUUUAAAAUAUUCUUUUCCAUUUAAGAGAAAGAAACAGAAACGAAAGCUGUUGCAUUCAUGCUUUUCCAAAGUAGAAUGGAGUGUAAUUUGAAGGGAAGUUACAUCAAUAGUGAACUGGAACUGACUCACAUUGUCUCAACAAAACAUUCUUAUAAUAUAAUGAUAUCUUGAGAUUUCUUAAUGAUUGGUACAAGGCAGUGGUUCUUGACCUUUUUUUUUUUUUGUAGUGCCCUCCUUUUAAGUAGUUGUUAUGCCUAGCUCCUAUCUAAGUGGCAAAUCAAGUAUCAUGACUAAACUAACUUAACAUGGAUGAUAAUUUAUAAAUUUUUUUCUAAAAAUGGAUUGUAUAAGCUUUUAAAAGUGAAAUGAUAAAAAACUGAUAAAGACAAAAUUUGUCAAUUUAUUUUAUACAUUGUAAGCUAAUGACUUACCUGUACCUGGGGAGAUUUCAUUUUAUUUUAAUAACCAUUACUAGUUUUAUCAUGUAUAAUAUAAUUACUACUAUAGAUAAAAUUUAGUAUGUUAAUUUUAUUACUUCACUGCUCCAUAAAGCCUAAUGCUCCCUUUGACAUGCUCAGUGCCUUUUGGGUUUGGUGCUGCCCACUUUGAGAACCUUUGGUAUAAGGCCAUCUAUACUGAAGGUUGGGUAGGGGUCCAGUCAACUGAAUCAAUUCUUAACAUGUCCACUGAUUAUUUUCCCAACUGUAGGUGUUUAAUGCAAUAGGGUUGAUGGGGCAAAGGGCUUGUCAAUUGAAUUGACUCUUGACAUCUCCACUCUCUCUUUUACUCUUUUACUUGUUUCAGUCAUUUGACUGCUGCCAUGCUGGAGCACCACCUUUAAUCGAGCAACUUGACCCGGGACUUAUUCUUUUGUAAGCCCAGUACUUAUUUUAUCGGUCUCUUUUGCCGAACCGCUAAGUAACGGGGACAUAAACACACCAGCAUCGGUUGUCAAGCAAUGCUAGGGGGACAAACACAGACACACAAGCACACACACAUCAUCAUCAUCAUCAUCAUCAUUUAACAUCCGCUUUCCAUGCUAGCAUGGGUUGGACGGUUCAACUGGGGUCUGGGGAGCCCGAAGGCUGCACCGUAUAUAUAUAUAUAUAUAUAUACAUAUAUACGACGGGCUUCUUUCAGUUUCCGUCUACCAAAUCCACUCACAAGGCUUUGGUCGGCUCGAGGCUAUAAUAGAAGACACUUGCCCAAGGUGCCACGCAGUGGGACUGAACCCGGAACCAUGUGGUUGGUAAACAAGCUACUUACCACACAGUCACUCCUGCGUCUUUUAUUCCAUUAACAGCAGAUAUUUAAAUGAUAAAGAUGAUAUUGGUGUAAUUUGAGCAAAGACAGUAGAUGACCAAAAUUAAAUACUGAACUCUAGUAUAGAUGCAGAACUAGACAUAUUGGGAGAAAAGCAUGGACAAUUAAUUAUAUGAUUUCAGUACUUUCCCACAGUGUGUAUCUUAUCAACUCUGAAAGAACAAGAAACCAAAUUGAAUCCCAAAGGGAUUUGAACUCAAAACAUAGAAAGAUGUAGCAAAAUAUUGUAUAGUAUUUUAUCUACUGCUCUACCAAUUUUACCGAUUUACUAACCUGCUAAAGACUAAAUAUUGAAAAGCAUUUCAUCCAGGAGUUUACUGUUUGUGCCUCUUUGUGAAUGACAAAAUCAUUAAAUUUGCUAAAUUAAUUUAUGUUAUUGUACCAGUCUUAAUAAAAUCCCCCAACUAGCUAUUUUUAAAAUUAAUACCCACAAUUUUGUUGUCUAAAUCUUAUAGCCUAAUACUAACAAUAUAGAGUGGAUGGCUACAGCUAGAAAUUUCUAUUUGAAUUAGUCAAGGCCCUGUGCCAAUGCUAUGUCCAAAGCUGAUCUGGGGUACUCAUUAACAAUAAGAAAUAAAUUUUAAAAAAAGCAAGUCUGGCUAUCAGAAGUGUCAGUAAGAGAAACAAAGUAGAACAAUAAUUGUAUAGAGAAUAAAUUGUUUAGAGCCCCGUUGCCACAUGAAUAGCAAAAGUUGAGCUAAUAUUGUUUUGCCUUAUAUAAUUCCACUCGUAGCUAAGCAUUAUAGUUUUAUAAAUAGACUCAGUACAUGACUGUUUUUCAUACACAUUGCUUUUGUUUUAUUCUUUGUUUUUGUAGUUGUUGUUUUGUUUGUUUUAUUUUUUUUUAACCAAUUUCAGUAGAAUUGGCAAAGAUUGGCAAGAUUUGAAGCCAGAACCUAAAUAAAUUCCACUAGGUAUUUUGACAAUUGCUCAAAAAAUUUUUCAACAGGCCAACUUAUUUAACCCUCUCAGGCCAUACUUUUAGUAUACCAAGAAUUUCAGGCUUGUUUCUUUGCCAAAUUACUGAUAUAAUUUUAAUAUGGGGAAACCUCAUGUUAAAAUCAGUUCAAACAAAAAAUAAACCAACCAAUCAGAAUGAAGAUUUGUCUUCACUGCCGUGUUAGUUUCUUUACAAAUAUCUGUUUGGUGAUAAGGUGCAUCUUGAGAAUUAUUUUUCUGAUAUAUUUUGACCAUAAAAUGAUGCUCAUCCAGCCAAGUAUGUCUGGAGAGGGACACCGAAGGCAUAGGAUGUUCAUUACUGCAGGAAUUAGAAUAUUCUGAGAAUGCAUUGAAAUUCAAUGAAAUGUAUCCUGAAGAUGAUUUACAAUCAGUCAAUGUGAAUGGAAGUGUUUAAAGUUGAUGACAAAAUGGGAGACCAUGUUCAUAUUUCACAAACUUAAAGUGAAAACAAUGUACUGCAAAAGAAAAUUGACAUCUGGCAGCACACCAAUGCACAAUAUUAGGAUAGAUCGAACACUUAUUAAUUUUAGAUGAAAACCUAAGAUUUUAUAUGUUUUUACAAAUUAUUUUCAGUAAAUGGCUUUCUGUGUAUUGACUGUGGAGUUCAG
rnacentral:lncRNA from 1 species